GUCGACAUUUACGGAUGUUUCGAUAUCAAUGUCGAGAUGGGUAGUUCCAACGGUGUUGAGGACGGUGAGAUAAGCCUGGGCAAGUGUUUCAGAGGUGGUGCAAGAAUGCUCAAGAUAGGGACCAAGGGCACCUCCUGAGAUCUUUAAUGGGGUUCAGAAUUUCUGGAUCGUCGAUAGCGAAUUCGCCACCCCAAGUUGGAACACAUGGUUCGCGUCCCCCUAAAGCGAACGCGAUGUGGAAAUCCUUUUGUCCCGUGGCUUCAAAGAAGGCCAAGAGGGAGGUCCGAUUUUGGAGAAAUGUGUCAUAAAAUGGAGCAAAUUUGAAGCCUGAGCAGACAAACUAAUUUUAAUGAGGUAAUUUUUUUCAAGUAUAAUAUAAAUUUUGGUUAUGAUAAUUUACCACCAGUGCCAGUCAAACAAGCUAAAAGACCCAGGGUUAGGAUGAAACUUGAUUUAAUCAUUUUUUACCCAAAAGUAGUGGUAUUUGUCAAAGAGAAAUUUUUCAUGGAUUGAAAAUCAUUACACUAAAAAAGUUCACAAAUGAUAGCAUUCGGACUAUUUGAGCCUGAUAAUGUACCUUUGAAUUACGUCAGCAAAAAAGAUACUGAUUUCCAGAUAUCGAUAAAUUGGUGCAGAGAGAACAAUCGAUUGAAACAGAUAUUUUGCAUUUACAAUUGAUUAUCUAUUUAUUAAUCACUGAUGUAUGCAUGCACUGACAUAAUCUCAAGUCCCAAUAAUGUGUCAUUCAUCACAAUUAAUUGACUGCUCCAUUGACUCUGAAGAAUAUCCUU